AAUGGUGAUAAUGGUGUAUAUAGGGCCGAAACCACUUUUUUUUCCUUCCUUAUACAGAUUACUGCAUUUAUUUCAAUGCAUUUUUCAAAUAAAUAAUGAAACACCAGGACAUGACCCAGAAAUAUCUUAUCAUUAUCUAUGAAUAAAGUAUUGUGCUUUAGCAUUACAGAUGAGUAGAACUGAAAUGUUCCUGUAACAUAUCCCCAUAUAAUUUGACACCAACUAAACAUCUUCAGUGACUUGUGAAACACUAUGUUUCCACAGACUGUGCCUUUUGUGCCACUAGCCUCUUGUUAACAGGAUUAAGUUGUGCUGUCAAGAGAGUGUAAAUGUUUACAAAGAGAUUGCAGGAUAUUUCUGCCCAGUACUCCAUUAAGAAAUGAGGAGUGUGCUGACUGUACUGCAUGUUCAUAGUGAGUUGGAACCAUUUCACAUCUCUGAAAUUCAGUGAAGCUUAGAGACCCAGGACCAACACUCCACCAGUAAGAGCCUUCCCCUUAUAUCCAGACCUUCUGACAACUUCUGUCUCUCUGACCAUGCUCAACCACCUAAUGACAAUACCAUUUCCCACUGCCAGAGCAGAGCACCACAGGCUGCUGGCAUCCUUUAAAGCUGUCUGAAGCAUCAGCUUGAGAAAUGCAUUUCCAGAGUGAGCUGAGAUGGCAGAUAGCUACAGGAAGAAUUUUAACAGUUGUUUAAAAAUAAAG